UGAUAGCUCGCACCACACAAGGCGGUGAGGGUUUUUUUUUUUCGUGAAAACAGGAACACAAGACAACACCCCAACUUUUUCCGAUUUCCAAGAGACUAUAAAAGAUCGAUUGGAGUAAGCAUGGGGGAAAUCAACAGGGCGGAUUUGGUUACGGAGACAGGUCGGCAACAAAACAAGAGCUACAAGAUAUAUUUAAGACAUUUUGAGGCCAGGAUGUACAUGACUCUUACACCUCAUACAUUCAGCAGCUUUAAAGAUACCAGCUCAAGAUGGAGUGAUGUGAGGUGCAGCUGACACUUGACUACAACUACUGGUGCUGCCAAUUACACCACCACCACCACCACACAUCCAAUAGAUGGUGCAACUGCGCUCCGGGAAUAACAUUGGCAAUUAGUUUCCAAGUAUAAGCAAAGGCUAGAACGGCUAAAAGCAAAUUACAAGAAGAUAGAAACUCGUCGGUAGGCACACUGAGAAAGAUGAACAGCAGAGGUCGUCACAUUUUUAAGGGACUGAAAGUGGAAGAAAAGAUGCCAGACAAGAGUGAUCGUGUGUUCAAAUGUUCAGUGUAAUAUCUGUUAUAAGAAUGUCAAAGAAGGACCUGUUGCACAAGCGCUUCUAUUCAUGAUAAGAAUUAAAAGUAAGUAGAAACAAGUGCUAGCUUACAUCCUGUCAAAAACGUAAACAAAAUGGAGAAAGAAUCCAAUUUAGUGACUGAUGGGUUGUGCAAAGAGGUAAUGGCAUGUGACUAAUGUGUUAAAAGGAAAUCGGUAAAGCAUUUAGAUAUAUUUGUACAAAAUCCUUAUUUUCAGCAUAACAAGUAACAAGUAUGUAUAUGUGUAUGAUGCUCCACAUCUCGCAGCUAUUUUGUGGACUCAAUUUCCCAAGUUAUUUUAAGAAAUGAAGUUGCUAUCAGAACUGCCCCUAAGCUAGAGAAAGCUCCACUUAUGGAGAUGAGUGUGAAUUUGGCAGCACAAACCCUCCAGUAGAUCAGAUGCUGUGUGUCCUAAUGUGAUGGUUGCAUUAAGUAAUUGGAGAAUGCUCUGUAGUUAUGGCUGAAAUUAUGGUAGAAAUGAAUCGCACUUUCGACCUCCGUAAUAACACUGAGUGCCAAGAUAUGUUUGGGGUUCAUCAGACCAAGUCAGAACUUAGAAGCAAAUAGAAAAUAGCCUGUGAACGUUCCCGUCAGUUUGUUGCUGAUGAGUUUCCUAUAAUGACCUUUGGUAAAUUGAUGACACUUUCCAGUUUCUAUGUGACACUACAGGCUCCUCAAUGCUUUAAUUUUACAGAGAAAAAAAAGGAUAUGGAUUUGCAAAAUUAUUCCACGAGACAACAGUAACAACAUGAUUUUAAAAAAUGAAUUUAAGACAAAUAUGGCCUAUAUGAUUUUUCUAAAUUCUCACAAUAUCUGCGGAAAUUUAAAUUUAUUUAAAUGUUGAUAAGAAAUAAGAAAUAUGAUAAAGCUGGA